UAGUCCACGCCGUAAACGAUGUGCACUAGGUAUUGGGGGUAUUGAUCCCUUCAGUGCCGUAGCUAACGCAAUAAGUGCACCGCCUGGGGAGUACGGUCGCAAGACUAAAACUCAAAGGAAUUGACGGGGGCCCGCACAAGCGGUGGAUUAUGUGGUUUAAUUCGAAGCAACGCGCAGAACCUUACCUAGGCUUGAAAUCCUGUGAAUCUUAACGAAAGUUAGGAGUGCUCUUUGGAGAAUACAGUGACAGGCGCUGCAUGGCUGUCGUCAACUCGUGUCGUGAGAUGUUGGGUUAAGUCUCGCAACGAGCGCAACCCCUAUCCUUAGUUGCCAUUAUUAAGUUAGGCACUCUAGGGAGACUGCCUGGGUUAACCAGGAGGAAGGUGGGGAUGACGUCAAGUCCUCAUGGCCCUUAUGUCUAGGGCUACACACGUACUACAAUGGCAUAAACAAUGGGCAGCGACUUAGCGAUAAGGAGCGAAUCCUCAAAUUAUGUCUCAGUCCGGAGUUG
rnacentral:rRNA from 1 species